CGCGGUCCUCGGGCGUGGUGAGCACGACGACGUUCGGGCCGGCGUCGGCCGUGGCGUACGCGGUCAGCCCGUCGGCACGGAGUCCGGCGACGGCGUC
rnacentral:tRNA from 1 species